rnacentral:rRNA from 1 species
GACGAACGCUGGCGGCGUGCCUAAUACAUGCAAGUCGAGCGCAGGAAAUCGACGGAACCCUUCGGGGGGAAGUCGACGGAAUGAGCGGCGGACGGGUGAGUAACACGUAAAGAACCUGCCCUCAGGUCUGGGAUAACCACGAGAAAUCGGGGCUAAUACCGGAUGGGUCAUCGGACCGCAUGGUCCGAGGAUGAAAGGCGCUUCGGCGUCGCCGGGGGAUGGCUUUGCGGUGCAUUAGCUGGUUGGUGGGGUAAUGGCCCACCAAGGCGACGAUGCAUAGCCGACCUGAGAGGGUGAUCGGCCACACUGGGACUGAGACACGGCCCAGACUCCUACGGGAGGCAGCAGUAGGGAAUCUUCCACAAUGGACGAAAGUCUGAUGGAGCAACGCCGCGUGAACGAUGAAGGCCUUCGGGUCGUAAAGUUCUGUUGUAAGGGAAGAACAAGUGCCGCAGGCAAUGGCGGCACCUUGACGGUACCUUGCGAGAAAGCCACGGCUAACUACGUGCCAGCCGCCGCAGUAA